UGGGGAAUUUUGCACAAUGGGGGAAACCCUGAUGCAGCGACGCCGCGUGAUUUAGAAGGCCUUCGGGUUGUAAAAAUCUUUUCUAUGGGAAGAAAAUGACAGUACCAUAGGAAUAAGGACCGGCUAAAUACGUGCCAGCAGCCGCGGUAAUACGUAAGGUCCGAGCGUUGUCCGGAAUCAUUGGGCGUAAAGGGUACGUAGGCGGGUAAGCAAGUUAGAAGUGAAAUCCUCUAGCUCAACUAUAGUAAGCUUUUAAAGCUGCUCAUCUUGAGGUAUGGAAGGGAAAGUGGAAUUCCUAGUGUAGCGGUGAAAUGCGCAGAUAUUAGGAGGAAUACCGGUGGCGAAGGCGACUUUCUGGCCAUAACCUGACGCUGAGGUACGAAAGCGUGGGUAGCAAACAGG
rnacentral:rRNA from 1 species